GGGGAUUUAGCUCAGUGGUUAGAGCGCUUGCCUAGGAAGCGUAAGGCCCUGGGUUCGGUCCCCAGCUCCG
rnacentral:tRNA from 1 species